rnacentral:misc_RNA from 1 species
UAGAGUACCUACUCUUCAACCCCUGUGAACAUACCUAUUUUCCUCCGGCGGAACGCCCCGGUGCCUUCGGGGCCGGGUCAGGCGCCCGCCGGGGACCAAACAAACUGUAUUUGUACCCUGUAUAACUCAGAAUUAGGCGUAAAGCCGAAAUGUAA